rnacentral:rRNA from 1 species
AUUGAACGCUGGCGGCAGGCCUAACACAUGCAAGUCGAGCGGAUGAAGAGAGCUUGCUCUCUGAUUUAGCGGCGGACGGGUGAGUAAUGCCUAGGAAUCUGCCUGGUAGUGGGGGAUAACGUUCCGAAAGGAACGCUAAUACCGCGUACGUCCUACGGGAGAAAGCAGGGGACCUUCGGGCCUUGCGCUAUCAGAUGAGCCUAGGUCGGAUUAGCUAGUUGGUGAGGUAAUGGCUCACCAAGGCGACGAUCCGUAACUGGUCUGAGAGGAUGAUCAGUCACACUGGAACUGAGACACGGUCCAGACUCCUACGGGAGGCAGCAGUGGGGAAUAUUGGACAAUGGGCGAAAGCCUGAUCCAGCCAUGCCGCGUGUGUGAAGAAGGUCUUCGGAUUGUAAAGCACUUUAAGUUGGGAGGAAGGGUGUUUGGCUAAUAUCCAGGCGUUUUGACGUUACCAACAGAAUAAGCACCGGCUAACUUCGUGCCAGCAGCCGCGGUAACAC